AGAAGAGAUAGGAUUGGUGAAGAAGAGCAUAAGAAUAAGAGGUACUGAGAGAGAGAGAGAGAGAGAGAGAGAGAGAGAGUUA
rnacentral:sRNA from 1 species